GUCCCUGCCCAGAUCGCAUCCAAUGCCCUAAUCUUAGACCACACUGAUAGAAUGUGGUUGACCCAAGAUUCCAGGGAUCACAAAGUCCCUCUUUCUCAGGUCUGAGAUAGCGGGUCUUAGAGACCUUUCGUAUCACCUCUGUUUGGAAUAGAUGAGCUAAUUCUCUGUAACACAGGAGGAGAGAACUUAGAUAAACACCUCUGCUCAGAUCAAUAAGGAUUCAGCCAAGAAUGGGUGACUCGACUCUUUCAGGGAAAUAGGGAACUCACCAGUUUCUCAGUUUUCUCCCUUUGAAAUGACAUCUUUCUCUCUGACCUAAGCUGGUCUGGAGCUCACAGCCUCCAGAAUGCUGGGAUUACAAGCCCACACUACCAAGCUUGGCUUUGUAGAUAUUUUCAUGGGGAUGCCCGAUAGUGAAAAAUAAAAGCAGGUGCUCCAGAAAUGAUGCUGGAUCCAGUGGAGAGACCCACAUUUUACUCUUCAGUUUCUGAGCAAUUAGCUAUGACUAGAGUGCCAGAGAGAACACCGGAGAAGAAACGACUUAUUUGGGGUCCCAGUGUCAGAGGGCUCAGUCCAUGGCUGCUUGGCCCCAUGGCCUCGGACAGAGAGCAUCGUGUUGGAGCAGCACAUGUUGGAGCAGCUGGCAUUAUGGUAGAAAGGAAGCAGAGAC